GACGAACGCUGUCGGCGUGCUGAACACAUGCAAGUCGAACGAAGUGGCGAACGGGGGAGUAAUACGUGGGUAACCUGCCCUCCUUUUUGGGAUAAGCCUUGGAAACGGGGUCUAAUACCGAAUUCAGGGGGAUGGGCUCGCGGCCUAUGAGCUUGUGGGUGGGGUGAUGGCCUAACAAGGCGGUGACGGUUAGACGGCCUGAGAGGUUGACCGGCGACAUUGGGAUUUGGAUACGGCCCAGAGCCCAACGCGAGGCAGCAGUGGGGGUUAUUGCCAAAUGGGCGAAAGCGUGCUGCAGCCGCGCGGCGUGGGGGAUGAAGGCUUUCGGGUUGGAAACCUCUUCCGCUAUCGAACGGGUAGGUGGCGAAGAAGCGCCGGCCAACUACGGGCCAGCAGCCGCGGUAAUUC
rnacentral:rRNA from 1 species